UACGAAGGGGGCUAGCGUUGCUCGGAAUGACUGGGCGUAAAGGGCGCGUAGGCGGCUCAUUAAGUCAGGCGUGAAAUUCCUGGGCUCAACCUGGGGACUGCGCUUGAGACGUGUGGGCUUGAGUGGGGAAGAGGGUAGUGGAAUUCCCAGUGUAGAGGUGAAAUUCGUAGAUAUUGGGAAGAACACCGGUGGCGAAGGCGGCGACCUGGUCCGUGACUGACGCUGAGGCGCGAAAGCGUGGGGAGCAAACAGG
rnacentral:rRNA from 1 species